GAGCUUGUGAUGAUUCAGGUCCACAAGCAUCUUAGUAGAUUUCUGUGAGGCGAGUCUAUCGCGGUUAAUCGCUUAUUGUUGUUACACACACUGAAGCUU
rnacentral:snoRNA from 1 species